UACGUAGGCAGCAAGCGUUGUUCGGAAUUACUGGGCGUAAAGAGUGUGUAGGCGGUGUUCCAAGUCUGGUGUGAAAUCUCCCGGCUUAACUGGGAGGGUGCAUUAGAAACUGGAAUGCUAGAGGAUGGGAGAGGUAAGCGGAAUUCCUGGUGUAGCGGUGAAAUGCGUAGAUAUCAGGAGGAACACCUGUGGUGUAGACAGCUUACUGGACCAUUUCUGACGCUGAGACACGAAGGCGUGGGUAGCAAACAGG
rnacentral:rRNA from 1 species